AUAAAGUUGUAAAAAUUAAAAUGG
rnacentral:piRNA from 1 species